rnacentral:snRNA from 1 species
AGAUGUAAAGGCAAUCUGGCUGGAAUGUCCGUUUUGCCUUCAGUCACCAAGAUUGAUUUGUCUGAUCUGACUGGCCAGAUGGUUGUCCUUCUUCCCUCACUGCUCUAGGUGCAUUCCUCCCAUUCCAUUGCCUGCUUGGUAGAAAAAAAUACCCAUCUCAGAUAGGAAUGUUCUGUUCUGGGUUGGGGUUUGUGAUGUAUAUGCUAGCUGGACUCCCUUUGCUGUAAUAUCCCAAGUUUGAUUUUUGAAAAGAGUUU